rnacentral:rRNA from 1 species
AAAAGAAAAUAACAAUGAUUCCCUCAGUAACGGCGAGCGAAGAGGGAUAAGCUCAAAUUUUAAAUCUGUUGGGUUUCACCUAACAGAGUUGUAUUUUGAAGAAACGUUUUCUGCGUCCAGGAUUAGCCUAAAUCCUUUGGGAUAAGGUAUCAUGGAGGGUGAGAAUCCCGUUCAUGGUUAAUCUUAAGGAUGCUCUAACGAUACGUUCUCCAAGAGUCGAGUUGUUUGGGAUUGCAGCUCAAAAUGGGAGGUAAAUUUCUCCUAAGGCUAAAUAUUGGCGAGAGACCGAUAGCGAACAAGUACCGUGAGGGAAAGAUGAAAAGAACUUUGAAAAGAGAGUUAAACAGUACGUGAAAUUGUUGAAAGGGAAACGAUUGAAGUCAGUCAUACCAACGGGAAAUCAACCUCUUGAGUUUGGUCUCGUGGGUUUGAGAGAUUUUAAAAGCCUUCGGAUUUUCGAGAUUGGGUUUUUCUGGUGUACUUUCUCGUACGGUUAGUCAACAUCGGUUUUGAAUGUCAUAAAAUGACUGGAGGAAUGUGGCUUCGAUCUCGUAUUGAAGUGUUAUAGCCUUUGGUAGAUGUGAUGUUCGAGACCGAGGAUUGCAACGGAUACCCUUCUGGGCUAUUCGUCUGAUUUCUGAAACGUUGCCUUGAUGUCGAAAGCUUGCUUAUGAUGUUAGGGUAUUACGGUCAAAAGGUUAGAACGGAUUAAAUUCCUUAAGGAUGUUGACGUAAUGACUUUAAACGACCCGUCUUGAAACACGGACCAAGGAGUCUAACAUAUAUGCGAAUGUUUGGGUGAAUAAACCCUUGCGCGUUAUGAAAGUGAUUUUGGGGAGAUCCGG